GUGCUCUCUUCGGCAGCACACAUACUGAAAUUGGAACGAUACAGAGAAGAUUAGCGUGGCCCCUGCACAAGGAUGACAUGCAAAUUCCUGAAGCAUUCCAUAUUGUU
ensembl:snRNA U6 U6 spliceosomal RNA